GCGCCCUCUCCCCACCCCGGCCCUCUGCUUUUCGUACCAUUAAGGAUAGCAUUAUGGGGGAGAGGAAAAUCUGAUCAAAACUGUGGACCGCCACCGACAGAUUUUCUAUGGAUUCUAUAAAGGCCACCUUAAAGAUUUCCCUAAUUAAUGGAUGACAUCUUUGGCUGAAGGAGAGGCGAUGGAUUCGACUCUGUCUUCGUCUUUGUUAACCUUCUAAUUAACUUUCGUAGGUCACCCAGGUCUCCCAAACCUAAAAAGUGAAGAGGCCCAUUGUGCCGGGAGCAGUCAACUUACUUUUGCUGCUGGGUACUUAAAAGGGAGGACGAUUAUAGGCCGAGAAAAAUAACUCCAUUUAAAAGCUUUGUGGCUGCAGAGAAUACAUAGGUCCCUCCCUUAGAAAAUAAUUGAAACACCUUUUAUACCAAUAUUUCUUUGCAUAAUAAAAACAAAUUAGCAAAAUGCAUCUAAAUUCAGCAGCACUUUCAAAUUACCUUUUCUGGAAUGUAAGCCUCUGCAAGUCAACAAAAGAAGUUGGGUUUAGAGAGAAAAUUGCAACUGCAACAGCCAUCCGCCUUUAUGCUGAAAAACUGCCCCUUGUUGGGGGAACAAGUGUUCUCAGGUACUGCUGUUGGAGUUUAAAUAUCUACAUCAUCUCUGGAGGCAUCUGAGAUGGGUGUGACUUUUCAAGAGGACAAUUAAUCUUCUGACCACAAGACAUCAUCAAGCAAGACUCCACCCUUCGAAACUCUACCCCUUGCCUUAUUUGGG